AUUGAACGCUGGCGGCAGGCUUAACACAUGCCAGUCGAGCGGUAGCACAGGGGAGCUUGCUCCCUGGGUGACGAGCGGCGGACGGGUGAGUAAUGUCUGGGAAACUGCCUGAUGGAGGGGGAUAACUACUGGAAACGGUAGCUAAUACCGCAUAACGUCGCAAGACCAAAGAGGGGGACCUUCGGGCCUCUUGCCAUCAGAUGUGCCCAGAUGGGAUUAGCUAGUAGGUGGGGUAAUGGCUCACCUAGGCGACGAUCCCUAGCUGGUCUGAGAGGAUGACCAGCCACACUGGAACUGAGACACGGUCCAGACUCCUACGGGGGCAGCAGUGGGGAAUAUUGCACAAUGGGCGCAAGCCUGAUGCAGCCAUGCCGCGUGUGUGAAGAAGGCCUUCGGGUUGUAAAGCACUUUCAGCGAGGAGGAAGGUGGUGAGCUUAAUACGUUCAUCAAUUGACGUUACUCGCAGAAGAAGCACCGGCUAACUCCGUG
rnacentral:rRNA from 1 species